GGCCGGUUGGCCCAAUGGCAAGGCGUCUGACUACGAUUAUACCGUGGAAUCAGGAGAUUGUGGGUUCGACCCCCAUGCUGGUCA